UACGGGGGGAGCAAGCGUUGUUCGGAUUUACUGGGCGUAAAGGGCGCGUAGGCGGUCAGCACAAGUCGGUUGUGAAAUCUCCGAGCUUAACUCGGAAAGGUCAACCGAAACUGUGCGACUAGAGUGCAGAAGGGGCAACUGGAAUUCUUGGUGUAGCGGUGAAAUGCGUAGAUAUCAAGAGGAACACCUGAGGCGAAGGCGGGUGCUAGGCUGACACUGACGCUGAGUGCGCGAAAGCCAGGGGAGCAAACGGG
rnacentral:rRNA from 1 species